rnacentral:rRNA from 1 species
CAGUAGCCAUCGGUAAAACAGAGGGUGCGAGCGUUAAUCGGAUUUACUGGGCGUAAAGCGUGCGUAGGCGGCUUUUUAAGUCGGAUGUGAAAUCCCUGAGCUUAACUUAGGAAUUGCAUUCGAUACUGGGAAGCUAGAGUAUGGGAGAGGAUGGUAGAAUUCCAGGUGUAGCGGUGAAAUGCGUAGAGAUCUGGAGGAAUACCGAUGGCGAAGGCAGCCAUCUGGCCUAAUACUGACGCUGAGGUACGAAAGCAUGGGGAGCAAACAGGAUUAGAUACCCGUGUAGUCCCUGUCUCUUAUA